GAAAAUAUUUUAUUAUAGUAAAUAAAUUUUAUUUUAUAAUUUUUUUACAUAUAAUUUUUAGAUUUUUAAAUAAAAUUUUUAAAUAAAAUUUAAAUUUAAAAAAAUCUCAGUAAUUAAUAUUUUUGUUUUAUUUAUAUUUGAAUAAGAAAUUUAUAUAAAGAAAUGAUAAAAUUUGUGCCAGCAAUCGCGGUUAUACAAAUAUUUCAAUUAAAAUAUUUUUAUAAAUUAGAUUUUUAUUUUUAAAAUAUUAAUAAAUUUUAUAAUUUUUAAAAAUUAGGUAAAAUUUUUUUUAAACUUUAAUUAAAAUUUAAUUUAUUAUUAAUAUUCUUAAUAAAUUUAAUUUAAAAACUAGGAUUAGAUACCCUAUUAUUUAUUUUUUUUUUAAAUUUUUUAUAAGGUAGUAAAAGAAAAUUAUUAAAUUCUUAAAACUUAAAUAAUUUGGCGGUAUUUUAGACUAUUUAGAGGAACUUGUUUAUUAAAUGAUAAUCCACAUUUUACCUUACUUAAUUUUUAAUUUGUAUAUCGUUGUCAUCAGAAUAUUUUAAAAGAAUAAAUAAUUUUCUGAAUUUAAAAAUUUAUUUUAAAAUAUGUCAAAUCAAGGUGCAGUUCAUAAUUUAGUUUAAAAAUGAGUUACAAUAAAAUUUAUUUUUAGAAAAUAUUUUAAAAUAAAUAUUAAAAAUUGGAUUUAAAAGUAAAUUUAUUUUAAAUAUAAAUAUAUUGAUUUAAGCUCUAAAAUAUGCACAUAUCGCCCGUCGCUCUCGUUAGAUUUAAAAUGAGAUAAGUCGUAACAUAGUAGAUGUAUUGGAAAAUGUAUCUAGAAAAA
rnacentral:rRNA from 1 species